rnacentral:ribozyme from 1 species
UGCCCAACAACUCCUAUCCCUUCCUCCGCGUGGUAUCGGUUGGAAACUACAAACAACCUUAGGGAAGAUCGGGUGACCAACCCCAGUGGGAACUGUGGUAGUAGGCUGACAGGGCAGG